UGUAAGCGUAUACCAAAGUUGUUGCAGUUAAAACGCUCGUAGUCGGAAUUUGGCAGUUCCGGAUGUGUGCACGUCGUGUGCGCACUUCGCGGGGAUUGCUUUUGUGGUCUUGCGUAGGAUGAGGCACUUUUAUUAGUGAACGUCCUCACGCAACCACUUUUUAUUGUGAGAAAAUCAGAGUGCUCAAAGCAGGCAUUUGCCGUGAAUGUAUUAGCAUGGAAUAAUAGAAUAGGACUUGGUUCUAUUUUGUUGGUUUGUUGGGACUGAGUAAUGAUUAAGAGGGACAGUUGGGGGCAUUUGUAUUUCGGUGCUAGAGGUGAAAUUCUUAGAUUACCGAAAGACAAACUGCUGCGAAAGCGUCUGCCAAGGAUGUUUUCAUUGA
rnacentral:rRNA from 1 species